AGCGAACGCUGGCGCCAGGCCUAACACAUGCAAGUCGAACGAACUCUUCGGAGUUAGUGGCGGACGGGUGAGGAACACGUGGGAACGUGCCUUUAGGUUCGGCAUAACUCAGGGAAACUUGUGCUAAUACCCAAUGUGCCCUUCGGGGGAAAGAUUUAUCGCCUUUAGAGCGGCCGGCGUCUGAUUAGCUAGUUGGUGAGGUAACGGCUCACCAAGGCGACGAUCAGUAGCUGGUCUGAGAGGAUGGCCAGCCACACUGGGACUGAGACACGGCCCAGACUCCUACGGGAGGCAGCAGUGGGGAAUCUUGCGCAAUGGGCGAAAGCCUGACGCAGCCAUGCCGCGUGAAUGAUGAAGGUCUUAGGAUUGUAAAAUUCUUUCACCGGGGACGAUAAUGACGGUACCCGGAGAAGAAGCCCCGGCUAACUGCGUGCCAGCAGCCGCAGUAA
rnacentral:rRNA from 1 species